rnacentral:tRNA from 1 species
AGAUAAUUAGCUUAUAAAAGCAUGAAUUUUGAAAGUUCAAGAAAGAGCCUAAUACUCUAUUAUCUU